rnacentral:rRNA from 1 species
GAUGAACGCUGGCGGCGUGCCUAAUACAUGCAAGUCGAGCGAACAGAUGAGGAGCUUGCUCCGCGGACGUUAGCGGAGGACGGGUGAGUAACGCGUGGAUAACCUACCUAUAAGACGGGUAUAACUUCGGGAAACGGGAGCUAAUAGGGGAGAAGAUAUUGAAGCACGUGGGGGAAUAGUGAAAGACGGUGGUGCGGGAAGGUAUAGAUGGAUAUCCGCCGGUUUAGAUAGUUGGGCAGGUAAAGGGUUAUGACGGGGACGAGGCGUUGACGACCUGAGAGACUGAUCGGCCACCUGAGAACUGAACCAGCCUCCAUACUCCUGCGGGAGGCCGCAGUCUGCAAUCUUCCGCAAUAGGCGAAAGCCUGACGCAGCAACGCCGCGCCAGUGAUGACGGCCUUCGGAUCGUAAAGCUCUGUUAUUAGGGAUGAACAACUUUGUCAGUAACUAUGCACGUCUUGACGGUACCUAAUCAGAAAGCCCCGGCUAACUACGUG